rnacentral:lncRNA from 1 species
AUGCCAGCAGUGAGGUGCCAUGCUGGGGCCUUGUCCAUGCCCAGAAAAUGGCUGCAGCUCCUUCUGCACCGUGUGGUGAACAGCCCCUUACAGCACCCCUGCUGUAGACACUUUUUGGUUUAUAGGGAUGGGAGACAAGCUUUGCCUACGGUGAGCAUUCACAAGUGUCAGCAGGCCUCAGGCCUACCACAUAGGGCGGACGCUUCUGGCUUGGAGAACUACAUUAACUCACACCAGGCUUUUCUUCCACACCACGUAAGGCAUGGAGAAAGGCUUGCAACCCUGCUGUCUCCUUGGAGGAAGGUGACCAGCCGCUCCUUCUGUCAUCACCUCUCCUUCUUCCUUGCCCCUGUGGUCUGCAAUUGGCUCCACUCGCCUAGAGAGAGAUGGCUGGAGGUGAGCACUUCGGGAGGGCUCUCCUCCUCCUUCCACCUGUUUCUCAUUCCUUGACUCACUGGCUUUGAGCUGUAAGCAGUGACGUGACAGCUGAGUCAUGGACACACCACCUGGAUGCUGUCAGCAUCAAUCUCUCUUAUAAGGAUCAUAGAAGAGCAAAACAGAAAGAACUGUGAGGGUUUUGCAUUUGUCUUCCUGCCAGCGGGGACCGAGCCCUGCAGUGCGGUCUCUGGCUUUGCCCAAACUCACCCUCAAAAUCCCAAGCACUGGAGCUUCCACUGUUCUCCCCCAGGAACUGCUCUGCAACCUGAUAAAAAUCAUUGCCAAGGAGAUUUCUGCCUUUCCAUGGCUAUUAUUUAGCUUAAGUUUGGCUUAAGUGAACAAAAAACUUCUUAUUAAUAUCCACACUAUCGAUUUUUAUUGUUUUCCUUGCAAAGGAAUUUAGCCAAGCUGCAAAACUGGAGCUCAAAUGUUUUAUUUGUGGUUUAUUUAACAAUUUAAAAAGUCUCCCUGCUGCAUGCAUUGUUGUGCAGAGCAGAUGAAAAAAAGAUGCAGUCCUAUGCCCUGGAGAGCUUACACUUUUGAUUUAAGCAACAUACAGUGACUGAGAAUGACAAGUAACGAGACGGCAGGACACAAGUCAUACGAGAAAGGUCAGAAUGUUUCUAAAUAAAGCCCAUUGUCAUGCUUUUAAUUUGGGUUUA